rnacentral:misc_RNA from 1 species
UGUAUGGUUGACAUGAAAGUAACUGUCUCUUUGAUUUACCAGAAAGGGUUUUUUUUUUUCUAUUUCCAAAAACAUGAGGUUAUAAAAUAAAAUUUGUUAAUUUUCCAGAGUUGCCUUUUACAUUACUUUCAUGGUUCAAUUUGAAUUACAAUUUCUGUGAUUUAUAAUACAUGGAAAUUUUGACUGAUUAUUAUAAAUAAAAAUUGCAAUCCAUUUGAAAUGUCAUUUGACAUUUGACGAGGGUUUUGGUAAAAUUAAUGCAGGUGAUUGAAAUAGGAAAA